AUACGCAAAAGGAACAACAAUCAAAGCGUUUAACAAAUAAUGAUAUACGUUUUUAUUGCUCGCGUCUUAAAAAAUUAUAAUUUGGUAGAUCUUAUUUUACAUUUACCUUAACUUUCAUAUAAUAAGUAGAAAUGUACGAAAUUAGUGAAUUGGUCAGUUAUUUAAGUAAUCCUUAGGCUCUAUUUGUUAAAGACUAGACUGUAAAAAAUAUAGAACCAAUUGUAAAAUUUUUAGUAAAUAUUAGGUAUGUAGAAGCAUCUCGGAAAGAAAACAUAUUCUGUGUACAAUCUCAAAAAGCGUAAUAGGUUCUUUUAGUUGAGAUAAGCAUAACAACUAACAAGGAUUUGUUGUACCGUUGUUCCGAUAUGCCUAAUUCGAAUCGAAAGUGAACCCAAAUCAGCAGAUAUAUUCCGGUAGGUGUGAGUUGCCGGAAUUAAUUUAAAAAAUAAUAAAAAUAAGUUAACGACGAACAGUAAAAUAUUUAUUUAUUUUGGUAACAAAAAGGUGUUUUGCUUAGGUCUCGGACGAGGGUCGAUUGUUAGCGAGAGUCGGGUGUCCGCGUGGUUCGCAUGCUGUGAAGAGACUGUUAAGAAAGCCACAGACGCUAAUUUGUUUGUGUUUCUACCCUCUGACCAGAUGGGCAAUAAAUUAUUUAGAUCUGGCGUAUAAAAACAGAAACACUUCUGCAGUUUUAAAACGAUUGCAUGUCCAAAGUGAGUUGUUGACAUAACGGUCUGAUAUGAUAAUUAAUUUAUGGGGAAUUCAGUUUGUUACACUGAACACACCAAAAACAUAUGGUUAGGGAUGCAUUUCGUUUCGUAAAACCAUGUCUUUCUUAGCAUCUGGUUUGUAUAUUAACUGUGACUU